rnacentral:misc_RNA from 1 species
UACGUAGGGUGCAAGCAUUAAUCGGAAUUAUUGGGCGUAAAGGGCGCGUAGGCGGGAAUGUAAGUCAGAUGUGAAAUCCCGGGGCUCAACCCCGGAACAGCAUUUGAAACUGCAUUUCUAGAGGAUAGGCGGAGAAAACGGAAUUCCACAAGUAGCGGUGAAAUGCGUAGAUAUGUGGAAGAACACCUGUGGCGAAAGCAGUUUUCUAGCUUAGACCUGACGCUGAGGCGCGAAAGCAAGGGGAUCAAACAGG